UACGUAGGGGGCAAGCGUUGUCCGGAAUCAUUGGGCGUAAAGCGCGUGUAGGCGGCCAGAAAAGUCCGCUGUGAAAACUCGAGGCUCAACUUCGAGCUGUCGGUGGAAACUUUCUGGCUAGAGUCCGGAAGAGGAGAAUGGAAUUCCUGGUGUAGCGGUGAAAUGCGCAGAUAUCGGAAGGAACACCAGUGGCGAAAGCGGCUUCCUGGUCCAGCACCGACGUUCAGGCACGAAAGCGUGGGGAGCAAACAGG
rnacentral:rRNA from 1 species